CCGCCAUUAACUCAAUUGGAAGAGUAUUUAGUCUUAGCAAAACUAAGAGUCGGGGUUCGAUACCUCGAUGGCGGUCCA
rnacentral:tRNA from 9 species